UACGGAGGGUGCGAGCGUUGUCCGGAAUCAUUGGGCGUAAAGGGCGCGUAGGUGGUUCUGUAUGUCUACCGUGAAAGCGUACGGCUCAACCGUAUUUUGUCGGUGGAAACUGCAGGACUCGAGGCUGGGAGGGGCUGGUGGAAUUCCCUGUGUAGCGGUGAAAUGCGUAGAGAUGGGGGAGAACACUCGUGGCGAAGGCGGCCAGCUAGACCAGUUCUGACACUGAGGCGCGACAGCGUGGGGAGCAAACAGG
rnacentral:rRNA from 1 species